UACGUAGGCAGCAAGCGUUGUUCGGAGUUACUGGGCGUAAAGAGCGCGUAGGCGGUGCUCUAAGUCUGUCGUGAAAUCUCCCGGCUUAACUGGGAGGGUGCGGCGGAAACUGGAGUGCUUGAGGGUGGGAGAGGUAAGCGGAAUUCCUGGUGUAGCGGUGGAAUGCGUAGAGAUCAGGAGGAACACCUGUGGUGUAGACAGCUUACUGGACCGCUUCUGACGCUGAGGCGCGAAAGCGUGGGUAGCAAACAGG
rnacentral:rRNA from 1 species